UGGGGAAUAUUGCACAAUGGGCGAAAGCCUGAUGCAGCAACGCCGCGUGCGGGAAGAAGGCCCUAGGGUUGUAAACCGCUUUCAGCAGGGAAGAAAAUGACGGUACCUGCAGAAGAAGGUGCGGCCAACUACGUGCCAGCAGCCGCGGUGACACGUAGGCACCAAGCGUUGUCCGGAUUUAUUGGGCGUAAAGAGCUCGUAGGCGGUUCAGUAAGUCGGGUGUGAAAACUCUGGGCUCAACCCAGAGACGCCACCCGAUACUGCUGUGACUUGAGUACGGUAGGGGAGUGGGGAAUUCCUGGUGUAGCGGUGAAAUGCGCAGAUAUCAGGAGGAACACCAGUGGCGAAGGCGCCACUCUGGGCCGUAACUGACGCUGAGGAGCGAAAGCGUGGGGAGCAAACAGGAUUAGAUACCCCUGUAGUCCCUGAGCGGGCUGGCAAGGCGCAU
rnacentral:rRNA from 1 species